rnacentral:rRNA from 1 species
AUUGAACGCUGGCGGCAGGCCUAAAACAUGCAAGUCGAGCGGAGCGGCGGGCGGGUGAGUAAUGCCUGGGAAUCAGCCUGGUAGUGGGGGAGGACGUACGGAAAGGGGCGCUAGUACCGCAUACUAUCAGAUGGGGCUAGGUCGGAUUAGAUAGUUGGUGGGGAAAGGUCCUACCAAGUAGACGAUCAGUAACUGGUCUGAGAGGAUGAUCAGUCACAUGGGAACUGAGACACGGUCCAGACUCCUACGGGAGGCAGCAGUGGUGAAUAUUGGACAAUGGGCGAAAGCCUGAUCCAGCCAUGCCGCGUGUGUGAAGAAGGUCUUCGGAUUGUAAAGCACUUUAAGUUGGGAGGCGUUACCAACAGAAUAAGCACCGGCUAACUUCGUGCCAGCCGCCGCGGUAAUAC